CCUACGGGUGGCAGCAGUGAGGAAUAUUGGUCAAUGGGCGCGAGCCUGAACCAGCAAAGUAGCGUGAAGGAUGACUGCCCUACGGGUUGUAAACUUCUUUUAUAAAGGAAUAAAGUGAGGCACGUGUCCCUUGUUUUAUGUACAUUAUGAAUAAGGAUCGGCUAACUCCGUGCCAGCAGCCGCGGUAAUACGGAGGAUUCGAGCGUUAUCCGGAUUUAUUGGGUUUAAAGGGAGCGUAGAUGGGUUGUUAAGUCAGUUGUGAAAGUUUGAGGCUCAACCGUAAAACUGCAAUUGAUACUGGCAGUCUUGAGUACAGUAGAGGUAGGCGGAAUUCGUGGUGUAGCGGUGAAAUGCUUAGAUAUCACGAAGAACUCCGAUUGCGAAGGCAGCUUACUAGACUGCCACUGACGUUGAUGCUCGAAAGUGUGGGUAUCAAACAGGAUUAGAUACCCGUGUAGUC
rnacentral:rRNA from 1 species